rnacentral:misc_RNA from 1 species
GACGAACCGUGCGAACGUUGUUCGGAAUCACUGGGCUUAAAGGGCGCGUAGGCGGCAAUUCAAGUCCGGGGUGAAAUCCCCCAGCUCAACUGGGGAAGUGCCUUGGAUACUGAGUUGCUCGAGGGAGGUAGGGGUCGAGGGAACUUCUGGUGGAGCGGUGAAAUGCGUUGAUAUCAGAAGGAACGCCGGUGGCGAAAGCGCUCGACUGGAUCUCUUCUGACGCUGAGGCGCGAAAGCUAGGGGAGCAAACGGG